rnacentral:rRNA from 1 species
CCCUAUGGGGCGCGGACAUGGGGCCUCCGGAGAUGAGUAUAGCGCAACCGGGGGUGGGCGGGAAGAGCGGUGUCCCCGGACUUUCCCCGUUUUUCGGCGUACUGCCGUAUCACGCGGACGAUGCGAAGAAGAACGCCAUUCCGGCCCCUGCUUCCGCAGGGGCAGGCUGCAGCCGGAAUACAGGCGUAGUACGCGAGACAGGACGAUCCAAUGCCGGAUGCCGGCUUUCUCCGGCAUGACAGGUUGGUGUUUCGCCCGGUUCGGUACAGUUUCACAUGUCGAUUCCAGUAUCCAGCUGCAAUGCAAACUGUUCCACGUUUUGCAUCCGGAAAAACGGGGAAUGUCCCGGGGUGUCCGGGCUGUUUGGGGGUAGGGAGGAGGGGUGGAAUUGGCGGGAGGGC